AGUGAACGCUGGCGGUAGGCCUAACACAUGCAAGUCGAACGGCGGCACAGUAAGAGCUUGCUCUUACGGGUGGCGAGUGGCGGACGGGUGAGGAAUACAUCGGAAUCUACUUUUUCGUGGGGGAUAACGUAGGGAAACUUACGCUAAUACCGCAUACGACCUACGGGUGAAAGCAGGGGAUCUUCGGACCUUGCGCGAUUGAAUGAGCCGAUGUCGGAUUAGCUAGUUGGCGGGGUAAAGGCCCACCAAGGCGACGAUCCGUAGCUGGUCUGAGAGGAUGAUCAGCCACACUGGAACUGAGACACGGUCCAGACUCCUACGGGAGGCAGCAGUGGGGAAUAUUGGACAAUGGGCGCAAGCCUGAUCCAGCCAUACCGCGUGGGUGAAGAAGGCCUUCGGGUUGUAAAACCCUUUUGUUGGGAAAGAAAAGCAGCAGGUUAAUACCCCGAUGUUCUGACGGUACCCAAAGAAUAAGCACCGGCUAACUUCGUG
rnacentral:rRNA from 1 species